rnacentral:rRNA from 1 species
UGGGGAAUAUUGCACAAUGGGGGAAACCCUGAUGCAGCGACGCCGCGUGAACGAAGAAGUAUUUCGGUAUGUAAAGUUCUAUCAGCAGGGAAGAUAAUGACGGUACCUGACUAAGAAGCUCCGGCUAACUACGUGCCAGCAGCCGCGGUAAUACGUAGGGAGCAAGCGUUAUCCGGAUUUAUUGGGUGUAAAGGGUGCGUAGACGGGAAAUUAAGUUAGUUGUGAAAUCCCUCGGCUUAACUGAGGAACUGCAACUAAAACUGGUUUUCUUGAGUGCUGGAGAGGAAAGUGGAAUUCCUAGUGUAGCGGUGAAAUGCGUAGAUAUUAGGAGGAACACCAGUGGCGAAGGCGACUUUCUGGACAGUAACUGACGUUGAGGCACGAAAGUGUGGGGAGCAAACAGGAUUAGAUACCCUGGUAGU